ACACGCGCACACACACAAAAAAGGGGAACAGACGGGGAUUUUCUGGGCAGGAAACAAAACAAAAGAAACGAAAAGGGACGAGCAAAAAAACAGAGAGAGAGAGAGAUGAGCAAGCAAAAAUCACAAAAAUCUUGUUCUUCUUCUUCUUCUUCACCUUUUUCCUACACCUUAUACUGCCAUGGAAAUGCAGCCCCAGUAGCUCCACAAUACACCAACAAAACAGUCUACUUCCACCACUAAAAAAUCAGUGGAAGCUCUCAUCUUCAUUCACCACAUAAACCUGCCGGAAAACUCCAUGAAAGAGACUUGAAACUUCAUGAAAACCAGCAAAACAGAGCUUCUUCCUCAACCAAAAAGAACAUUAGCUCUCAUCCAUGUGAAGCCACUGAAAACCACCUUAAAUCACCCCAAACCAUCCCCUAUUUACUACUGAAGCCCAGCUUCAAAACACAGCAAAAGCUGCUGCCAAGGUCACCCGAAAAAGAAAAAAAUCCGUUUGAGCUCAAGUUCGAAGCAUUCUUGUCCAAGUUCGUCGUUUGAGGUUCGAGUUCUCAGUCGAGGUUCCAUCAUUGGCGAGGUGUACGAUCUGAGAUUAGUGAGCUUUUUGGGCAGGUUCUUCGCUUCAGGUCGAGUUCUCCAUUUUUUUGGACUGUCGUCUGAUUUUAUGUAAGUUGGUUUGGAGUUUUCGGCUAAAUAAAGGUUCCCUUUUAUUCUUUAAUAUGCUUCUUAGUUCAUGGUAUCUGUUGCAAUUUUGUUUGUCUUAUGAAAGUUAGAUGAAUAUUCUUAUUAGUACUUGAUUACAACAUGCCUAAAUCAUGAAAUCGCUUGAGAAUUUCUAUGGGGUCGAUGUAUAUUUUAGUGUUAUGAAUUUGGAAUCAAUGUGUACUGAUAGGAAGGUGUUGUUUCAUUUAUUAAAUUUGAUAUAAAACUAAUUGAAAUGUGUUAAGGAAAAUAAAUAACGUUUGUAAACAGAGAUUGAAAAGCAAGGUUUGGACUUAGCGCAAAGAAUUUGGGGCAUUGGAUGGAUUCACAUUUAAGAAGGAAUGAGUUAUUAUGAUUAUUGGGCCAUCUGAUACUUGGCAAAGUAGCAGGUAAGGAAUCCCAACGUGGUAAAUCCAUAUACUAAGACCAUUUUCGUAAAUAAUAAUUUAUCUUCUCAUACCAAAAUAUUUCUAACACGAUAGCAUACUUUAAGCACACUCUUAAUUAAUUAAAUUAUCGUGAUUAUGUAUACGUUCGCGAGAUAUAAUUAUGAUUUCCAUCAUUAAAACCAAAGUAUGUGUUCGUGCAACUUUGGAGAAAACAAUCUUAAUAAAAAUAAAAUAUUAUUGAUUGUGUGCACGUUCGUGUGAUACGAGUACAAUUUAAAAAUAAAUAUUCGUAUAAAAUGCUUUAGGUGCGACUUAAUCUAUCAUCGUGAUUGUGUAUAAGUUCGCGUGACAUAAUUAUAAUUUUUAAAAUAAAUCAAGGUAUGCGUUCGCACAACUUUGGGUCAAACAAUCUUAAUAAUAAUAAAGUGUUAUUAGUUGUGUACACGUACGCGUGAUAUGACUUUGACACACCAAACAAAACGAGUACACGUACACAUGACUCGUUUUGAGAUAAUUCCAUAAUUCAAUAAUCAAACAAUUAAAAGCGGUUAAAAGGGUAAAGGCACAUAGGUUUAAAAAUAAGUAAUUAAAAUAAUUUAAUUAAGCCAGGUAUGAUUAAAGCGACCGUGCUAAAACCACAGAAAUUAGGAGUGCCUAACACCUUCUCCCGGGUUAAUAGAAUCCCUUACCUGGUCUUCUGGUUUAGCAGACUUUAAAACAGAGUCAAAUUUCUUCGAUUUGAGAUUUAAAAUAAACCGGUGACUUGGGACACCAUAAAGUAUUCCAAGUGGAGACUCUGAAAAAAUAAAUAAUCCCAUUUCGAUUAAUAUCACUUUAAUUGAAAAAACUCUCUUAUGUCCCUUUCGGGUAAAAAGGAGGUGUGACAGCUCAGGCGACUCUACUGGGGAUCGAACCUAGAAUCUCUGGUUCAGGGUUGAAGAAUUCGAGCUUGUUAUUGUGAUUUUUACUUGGCUUUAUUUAUUGUUGAUAUUACUGUAUUUUGUGGGUCUAAUAUGCUAAUUGCCGCUUAUUUACCGCUUUGAUAUUGUUUGAAUUGUAUUAAAUUGUCUUCUUACGCCUUCCUUCUGAGUCUUCUAAAAAAUAGUGCACACGUACGCGUGGCCUAAUUUUCUGUUAAAGGUCGUACCAAAUAGAGCGAGGAUGGAUCAGCCACUAGGCCAGGUAGACUUUUGUGCUCCAAGUACGUCGCUCCCACCUAGGCUCAAGUUGUCCGCUUGGGUAAGCCAGGUCUAGAACACAAUUCCAGGUUUAAACCUAGAAUAACAUAACCUCAUACCGAAUCCCUAGUAGGAACAUUUGUUUGCAUCACGUGCAUUUGACUUUGAAGACUCAACACAGGAGUUGGGUCCGUCUAAGACAGGUGUACCCGAAAUGAAAGACCAUCCUGAUGCAUCUUACGUGCUAUUUGUAAAUUUAUUUGUUUCGGUUUGUAUAUUGACCGGCUAAGGAAAAAAAUAGCAGAAAACCAAGAGUGAGGUAGGAUAGAGAAUUCACCCGGUUCUGAAAAUCCCGAUAUUUGAAAAAAUGCCUCGAAACUCUGCCAAAAUUUUUGGAAAAAAAAAGAGGAAAAGAAAAUGUAUUUCAAAGAAUGAAAGUGAGUCAAUAUCAUGUUUUUUCCAAUUUUGUCAAAACUGACCUAACUACACGGAUCCGAUUCUCACCUGAUGUGAGAUACAUAGGCAAACCUCAUCGGUUCUGGCCCACAAUUUUCAAAAUAAAUCCAAAAAUAUUUUUUCUUUACUUACUUCUUUAGAAAGUCUUUCUUUUAGAUCCCAAUUUUUAAAAAUACAAAAAUAUUUUCUUUUAAUUUCUUCUCAAAAUCCAAAAAUAUUUUCAUUCUUCUUUCAAAAUUUGAAAAGAAAAUUCUAGAUUCAAAAAUAUUUCCUUUUUCUUUAGAAGCAUUUCAUUCAUAAAUUCAAAAUAAAAUUUCAAAAAAUCCAAAAAUAUUUUCUUUCUUCUUUAAAAGUUUUUCUUUCGAAAAUUCAAAAAAAAUAUUUUCUUUCUUCUUUAAAAGUCUUUCUUUUCAAAAAUUUUAAAAAGAAAACAACAAACAAACAAAUCAAAAUCAAAAAAUAUUUUGUUUCUUCUUUUCAAGUCUUUCUUUCGAAAAAAGUCCAAAAUCCAAAAAAAGAGUUAGUUUAUUUACUUUCUUCCUAAUCUUUCCGAACUACGCAAAGAUAUGAUUCAUGCGGCGUCAUGAUACGUAGGCAACCUACAUCAGGUUCGAUCGAAUGGUUUAAAAGAAAAAAAGAAACAAAAGAAAAGAGAGAGAAUAAAGAAAGAAAAAGAAGAAGNNNNNNNNNNNNNNNNNNNNNNNNNAUGGGAUGACAUGGCCUGGGCCUUUGUCAAACAGUUCUAAUAAAACAUCGACAUUGCACCAGACCACAAUUCCCUUUCAAACCUGAAGAAGAAACCAAUUGAAAGUUUCAGGAAAUAUGCCACUUAAUGGAGAGAGCAAGCGACUAGAGUUAAGCCACCCAUGGAUGACCACGAGCUAAUCACUAUAUUCCUUCAGGCGGAAGAGCCAGAUUACUUUCAAAACAUGAUGUCCGUAGUUGGCAAAUCCUUCUCGGAAGCAAUCAAAAUGGGAGAAAUGGUAGAGAUUGGCGUUAAUACAGGUAGAAUUAUAAGUCAAGCAGCUCUCAAAGCUGCAACUCAGUCUGUCCAAAUUGAAUCUGGUAAUUUUAGUGAAACGAAUGAUAAGGUUGAAGAAAUCAUGAUGACAUUAGGGUUGAGAAGAGGUCCUAGGAGAAUAGCUCGAAGGUAUGACCAGCCUCGUCUAUAUUUUGAUGAUUCCCUUGAGCACUACUAUCCACCUCAGAACCCACAAUACUCUAUUGCUCCACCCCAGUAUGUUGUCCAGCCACCAAGACACCCCAUAAGGCGAGCACCAGCACCGCAAAAUCUUCACCAGCCUCUAUAAAAUUUUCAAGUGCCCUAUAACCUACAUCCAAGCCAGGGGUAUAGAGGGGAACAAAGGUUGAAAGAUAAUUUUACCCCAAUAGGAGAGUCCUAUGCAAGAUUAUUUGAGAAGUUAAAGCAUUAUGACAUGAUUGCACCCAUUCCUCCAAAUCAUGUGGACCCACGUGAAAUAAGCUUUGACUCUUCUAAAAGGUGUAAAUACCAUUCCAAUGCCCAUGGGCUAAAUGUCAAGCUUAUCAAUUGAAAAGUCAUUCCCUCCUCACUAGGAAGGAAUCUUGGUAGCUUGUUUUGAUUUUUUUCUAUUAUCUGGGUUAUUUCAGGGUUGUGAUCCAGAUUUUAUUUGUUUUAUUGAGUCAAACCCUUCUAUCCUUCCAUUCUGUUUGUGUGAGUCUUGUCCGUUUGUUCUAUUGCUAUUUUCAUCAUCCGGGUUAUUUUAGGGUUGUAACUCGGAUCGUAGGUUGUUUGUCUUGUUGUUUACUCAAUGAAAUACAGUUUGUACUUUUGUGUCAUUCCGUGCUUAGUUCUUUUCCGCUAGUUUUAGUGAUAUGACAUGCGUGCGAAAAUUUUGGCCAGAUUUUAGAAAACUGAUUUAGUCUUGAAUUGGAUAAUUGAGAACAAGACACUUUUGAGGAUGAAAAAGAGUUGAAAUACCUUGGAAUUAAGACCGAGUAAAAUUCAAGUGGUACUAUAAUAGUCAUACUCAUGGAGGUUAAGGAUAUUUACCUUCAUAGUCAUUGUGAAGAUCGGUUUGAGGAAGAAUCAAUUGAAGUAUAUUGGAAAGUUUGUCAUUAAGUGAUGGAAGUGUCUUGUGACCACGACACACCAAGAAGACAGACAUGUUCGUCAAUGUCGUGAUCGCGAAAAGAUACUAUGUUUGACAUUCUCGAGGCUGAGAGGCCCUUUUUUCUGCUACCCAAAUACUUUAUAUCCUUUAUUACCCCUUUUGAGCCUGUGUUAUUUUCUUUGACAAAUCUCUUUUGGAAUCAAGUUUAGAGUUAAAAGUCUAAUAAAAAAUAAAAAUGGAAAAAUGAUAAAAAAAAAGUCCAUACCCCAAGAGUACAAACUGAGGCAGCUUUUAGAAAAUUCAAGUGAAAAAAUGAAGAAGAAAAUAAUUGUCUGUAAUGAUCUGGCCGGUCGUUUCAUGAGUUACCGCUCUUUUUCCCCCAUUUCUACUUCUUUAUGUCUUGUUCAGCUGUAUUAUGUGGUAUUGGGGUGGUUGUUCAGCUGUAUUAUGUGGUAUUAAAGAAUGAGACACUUCGUCUCUUUUGAGUAAGCUUAAGUUGGAAAAGUCAACCGGAUGUUAACUUAUGUGAACAAGGUCUCGAAUGUGAAUUCCGAUGGUUCGGAUAGCCUCUUUAGGUGAUUUGGGAGUUAGGUUCGUGAUCAGAAUGUAUUUUGGAGGUCAGUGGUAGAUUCAGGCUUGAAUUGGGGAAAUUAGAAUUUUGGCGUUUUCAGGUUGGUAGUGGAAAUUUUGAUAUUGGGGUCGGAAUGGAAUUCCAGAAAUUGGAUAGGUCCGUUGUGUAAUUUUGUGAUAUGUGUGCAAAAUUUCAGGUUAUUCGGGCGAGGUUUGAUAGACUUUUUGAUCGAAAGCGGAAUUUGGAAGUUUUGGAAUUCUUAGGCUUGAAUCCGAGGGGAUCAGAUGUUUUAAUAUUGUUUUGAGCAUUCCGAAGGUUGGAAUAUGUUUGAAUGAUGUUAUGGGAUGUGUUGGCAUGUUUAGUUGAGGUCCCAAGGGCCUCGGGUGAGUUUUGGGUGGUUAACGGACCAAUUCUUGGUUUUGGGGAGUUGCAGAUUUUCUGGUUUUUAUUGCAGAGGAAAUUGUUCUUUGCGUUCGUGAAGAAGCGCUGGACCUAGGGGAGAAAAUGUUCUUCGCGUUCACGAGCCUGGGGUCACAUUCGUGUAGGUUUGGAUUCCAUUGAAUCGCGAAUGCGUGAGAGGAGUCCCGUUCGCGUAGGGUAAUUGGAGCAGCUGGGACCCCAUGAGUUUUGUGCUUUGCAUUCGCGUAGGUAAGGUCGCGUUCGCGAAGGCUUGGGCAGUUGAAGCUUCGCGUUUGCGUGAAGGGAGCGGCGUUCAUGAAAGAGGAAUAUUUGGCCAGUGAGGUUUUGUGCUUAGCGAACACGAGGCUUUGAGCGCGUUCGUGAAAAAGGAAUUAAUGUCUAGGCAGAAUGUUUAAAUAGUUUCCUUCGCGAUUCUUGGUCCAUUUUCUCCAUUGUUGAACGGUUUGAAGCUUUUUGAGAGGGAUUGUAGAGGGAAUCGAAGGGAAACACUUGGAGCUAAGAAUUUGGAACUCAAUACUCGAUUCUCUGGUGAUUUCUAUCUAAUUAGACAUGAAAUUCGUGGGAUUUAAAGCCUAAAAUUGGGGAAUUAGGGCUUGAAAUUGGAGACUUUGAUUUAAGGAUUUGAGGGGUCAUUAGUGGUCGAAUUUUGAUGUAAUUGGUAUGUAUGAACUCAUGAGAGUUCAAGGAUUCUAGUUUUGUAAUUUUUAUCGGAAUCCGAGACGUGGGCCCGGGGGUCGGGUUUGGCCAAUUUUGGGAUUUUUGAUGUAAUUCGAUUAUUUUCGCUUGGGAUUUGUUCAUUUAGUGCAUAUUAAUAGUAUGAUUCUAAUUUUGGUUAGAUUUGGAGAAUUGGAGGACGAUUCGAGGAGCAAAGGCAUCGCGGGCUAGAGUUUGGACCGGAUUAAUGUAAGUAAUGAUUGUAAAUGUUGUCUUGAGGGUAUGAAACUCCGGAUUUCACAUCGUUGUGCUACUUUGAGGUAACACACACGUCAGAUGACGAGCGUGGGGUUGUGCACCGUUGGGGAUUAUGACUUGUUCCGUCCCGUACGACUAUUAAGUUGCGUAUUUGAUUGAAGACUGUUUGAAAUCAUUGUGUUUUGGAAAGUAUUACUAUGUUUUGGGCUAAAUGCCAUAUUUGGGCCUCAUGACAACUGUUUGGACCCUUAGGGGAUUUUUUUACUACUAUUCCUCACUAUUUUGACCUCAUAUUUGUACUCAGUGAUGUUGUAUUCUACUGUUUUCAUACCUCAGCCGUAUUUACUCCGUUUUGACAUUUUAAAUGAUGUGUUGGGCUGAGCAUCAUGAUUUACUGUUGCCCGAGUGGCUUGAGAGGUUUCUAACUGAGUGAGGCCGAGGGCCUGUGUUGUGAGGAUUGUUAUGGAAUUGGGCUAUGCACCGCAACAUGUGUACUGAUUUGUGAUAUAUGAGAGGCCGAGGGCCUGAUUUGUUAUGCCACGAGAUGGCUUGUGAUAGCGCUUGGGCUGUAGGAGCCCUUCUGGAAUCUGAACACCCCCAGUGAGCGCGGGUACCCAGUUUGAGAGAUGUGAUAUUGCCCGAGGGGCUGAUGUUGUUUCAUGUUAUUGCCCGAGGGGCUGAUGUUGUUUCAUGUUAUUGCCCGAGGGGCUGAUGUUGUUUCAUGUUGUUGCCCGAGGGGCUGAUUAUGAGUGAUUAUGAGGUAGCCGGGGGGCUGGUUUCUGUUGAUAUUUUGCCCGAGGGGCGGUUGUGGUAUAUGUUUUGCCCAAGGGACUGUUUACGCUUUCUACCCUUUUACUCACUGUUUUCAUCACUCGUUUGAAACUAUUGAAAGAUGUUGUAAAAAUGUUUUACUGAGCUGAGUUAUUUUUACGAGUUUUGUUGAUUUACUGUAUUAAUUCUGCAUAUAUACUAUUUUUUUGUGGUGCUAUGACGUGAAAUUACCUGUUUCUUACUACUCAGGUGCUUUUACUUUUAUUACUUACUAAGUUGGCGUACUCACAUUACUCCCUGCACCUUGUGUGUAGAUACAGGAGUCUCGGGGCGCCAUAGUGAGUGCUGAUAAGUCUUCCUGCCGGUCUCCGAAGUUGACUAGGUAGCUGCUUGGUGUUCGCAGCCCAGUGCUUCUCUUUCAUAUCUUAUUCAGAUUGUCGUAGUAUUUUAUUUUUGGACUAUGCUGUAUUUUCUUAUUCCUAGACGA
rnacentral:lncRNA from 1 species